rnacentral:rRNA from 1 species
UUAUCUGCGGACGGGUGAGUAACACUUGGGUAACCUGCCUGUAAGACUGGGAUAACUCCGGGAAACCGGAGCUAAUACCGGAUAGUUCCUUGAACCGCAUGGUUCAAGGAUGAAAGACGGUUUCGGCUGUCACUUACAGAUGGACCCGCGGCGCAUUAGCUAGUUGGUGGGGUAAUGGCUCACCAAGGCGACGAUGCGUAGCCGACCUGAGAGGGUGAUCGGCCACACUGGGACUGAGACACGGCCCAGACUCCUACGGGAGGCAGCAGUAGGGAAUCUUCCGCAAUGGACGAAAGUCUGACGGAGCAACGCCGCGUGAGUGAUGAAGGUUUUCGGAUCGUAAAGCUCUGUUGUUAGGGAAGAACAAGUGCGAGAGUAACUGCUCGCACCUUGACGGUACCUAACCAGAAAGCCACGGCUAACUACGUGCCAGCAGCCGCGGUAAUACGUAGGUGGCAAGCGUUGUCCGGAAUUAUUGGGCGUAAAGGGCUCGCAGGCGGUUUCUUAAGUCUGAUGUGAAAGCCCCCGGCUCAACCGGGGAGGGUCAUUGGAAACUGGGAAACUUGAGUGCAGAAGAGGAGAGUGGAAUUCCACGUGUAGCGGUGAAAUGCGUAGAGAUGUGGAGGAACACCAGUGGCGAAGGCGACUCUCUGGUCUGUAACUGACGCUGAGGAGCGAAAGCGUGGGGAGCGAACAGGAUUAGAUACCCUGGUAGUCCACGCCGUAAACGAUGGUUCCGCCCCUUAGUGCUGCAGCUAACGCAUUAAGCACUCCGCCUGGGGAGUACGGUCGCAAGACUGAAACUCAAAGGAAUUGACGGGGGCCCGCACAAGCGGUGGAGCAUGUGGUUUAAUUUGAAGCAACGCGAAGAACCUUACCAGGUCUUGACAUCCUCUGACAACCCUAGAGAUAGGGCUUUCCCUUCGGGGACAGAGUGACAGGUGGUGCAUGGUUGUCGUCAGCUCGUGUCGUGAGAUGUUGGGUUAAGUCCCGCAACGAGCGCAACCCUUGAUCUUAGUUGCCAGCAUUCAGUUGGGCACUCUAAGGUGACUGCCGGUGACAAACCGGAGGAAGGUGGGGAUGACGUCAAAUCAUCAUGCCCCUUAUGACCUGGGCUACACACUUGCUACAAUGGACAGAACAAAGGGCUGCAAGACCGCAAGGUUUAGCCAAUCCCAUAAAUCUGUUCUCAGUUCGGAUCGCAGUCUGCAACUCGACUGCGUGAAGCUGGAAUCGCUAGUAAUCGCGGAUCAGCAUGCCGCGGUGAAUACGUUCCCGGGCGUUGUACACUCCGCCCGUCACUCCACGAGAGUUGCAACA